GGGGAAUAUUGGACAAUGGGGGGAACCCUGAGCCAGCCAUGCCGCGUGUGUGAAGAAGGCCUUAUGGUUGUAAAGCACUUUAAGCGAGGAGGAGGCUCUUUUGGUUAAUACCCAAGAUGAGUGGACGUUACUCGCAGAAUAAGCACCGGCUAACUCUGUGCCAGCAGCCGCGGUAAUACAGAGGGUGCGAGCGUUAAUCGGAUUUACUGGGCGUAAAGCGUGCGUAGGCGGCUUUUUAAGUCGGAUGUGAAAUCCCCGAGCUUAACUUGGGAAUGGCAGUGGUGAGUGGGAGGCUAGAGAAUGGGGGAGUAGGGUGGAAUUCCGGGGGGAGCGGUGAAAUGCGUAGAGAUCUGGAGGAAUACCGAUGGCGAAGGCAGCCAUCUGGCCUAAUACUGCCGCGGAGGAACGAAAACAUGGGGAGCAAACA
rnacentral:rRNA from 1 species